AACGAACGCUGGCGGCAUGCCUAACACAUGCAAGUCGAACGAGACCUUCGGGUCUAGUGGCGCACGGGUGCGUAACGCGUGGGAACCUGCCUUUAGGUUCGGAAUAACUCAGAGUAAUUUGAGCUAAUACCGGAUGAUGUCUUCGGACCAAAGAUUUAUCGCCUUUUGAUGGGCCAGCGUUGGUUUAGCUAGUUGGUGGGGUAAAGGCCUACCAAGGCGACGAUCCAUAGCUGGUCUGAGAGGAUGCUCAGCCGGACUGGGCAUGAGACACGGCCCAGACUCCUACGCGAGGCAGCAGUGGGGAAUAUUGGACGAUGAGCGAAAGCCUGAUCAAGCAGUGCCGCGUGAGUGAUGAAGGCCUUAGGGUUGUACAGCUCUUUUACACGAGAUGAUAAUGACAGUAUCGGGAGAAUAAGCUCCGGCUAACUCCGUG
rnacentral:rRNA from 1 species